rnacentral:rRNA from 1 species
UGGGGAAUAUUGGACAAUGGGGGCAACCCUGAUCCAGCCAUGCCGCGUGAGUGAUGAAGGCCUUAUGGUUGUAAAGCUCUUUCACCCACGACGAUAAUGACGGUAGUGGGAGAAGAAGCCCCGGCUAACUUCGUGCCAGCAGCCGCGGUAAUACGAAGGGGGCUAGCGUUGUUCGGAAUCACUGGGCGUAAAGCGCGCGUAGGCGGACCGUUAAGUCGGAGGUGAAAGCCUGGGGCUCAACCCCAGAACUGCCUUCGAUACUGGCGGUCUCGAGUCCGGGAGAGGUGAGUGGAACUGCUAGUGUAGAGGUGAAAUUCGUAGAUAUUAGCAAGAACACCAGUGGCGAAGGCGGCUCACUGGCCCGGUACUGACGCUGAGGUGCGAAAGCGUGGGGAGCAAACA